CGAGGAUGGGCGAAGGUAGCAGCGGUGUUCGACAAAAUAGGUAGCCAAAAUCAGUUCCAGGGAAUCCUCACCAUUUACCGCUGUGCGUUCGACAAUACAAAAUGGCGAUUGCCACGUGUUCGGUAGAUGAACGCGGACCACCCGCUAUUCACCAAUUAGUCUGUGGUUAACCGCAACAGUCAGGGUGGUCAAUAGGCGCCACACGACCUCAGUGGGAGGUCGGUGGUUCGGUAGUUCAUUCGCAUUUAUUGUUAUUUCCACGAAAUCCCGCUGUAAUUCUCCAAAUAACCGAACAGGCUUGUUCGUAUAGUCUGUAAAUAGGGGAUUUCGUU